rnacentral:rRNA from 1 species
UACGAAGGGGGCUAGCGUUGCUCGGAAUCACUGGGCGUAAAGGGUGCGUAGGCGGGUCUUUAAGUCAGGGGGUGAAAUCCUGGAGCUCAACUCCAGAACUGCCUUUGAUACUGAGGAUCUUGAGUUCGGGGAGAGGUGAGUGGAACUGCGAGUGUAGAGGUGAAAUUCGUAGAUAUUCGCAAGAACACCAGUGGCGAAGGCGGCUCACUGGCCCGAUACUGACGCUGAGGCACGAAAGCAUGGGAGCAAACAGG